UUUACCCUGCGGUGCUCGUGAUUUGCCAUAUAUUCUUUGAACCAUUUCUGAGCACAGGUUACGGAAUUUUGUUGGAUGGGCGUGCUCGUCGCUCGUUCGAUGAACCCGAAAUCCGGCUUACCGUGACCACUUGAACCUAUGGUUCAAGAUGCCGGCAAAACGACACAGGCGGGGUCUCA
rnacentral:other from 2 species